CCUACGGGUGGCAGCAGUGAGGAAUAUUGGUCAAUGGGCGCAAGCCUGAACCAGCCAAGUAGCGUGAAGGAUGACUGCCCUACGGGUUGUAAACUUCUUUUGUAAAGGAAUAAAGUGAGGCACGUGUGCCUUUUUGUAUGUACUGUAUGAAUAAGGAUAGGCUAACUCCGUGCCAGCAGCCGCGGUAAUACGGAGGAUCCGAGCGUUAUCCGGAUUUAUUGGGUUUAAAGGGUGCGUAGAUGGGUGGUUAAGUUAGUGGUGAAAGUUUGCGGCUCAACCGUAAAAGUGCAAUUGAUACUGGUAGACUUGAGUACAGUUGAGGUAGGCGGAAUGCGUGGUGUAGCGGUGAAAUGCUUAGAUAUCACGAAGAACUCCGAUUGCGAAGGCAGCUUACUAAACUGCCACUGACAUUGAUGCUCGAAAGUGUGGGUAUCAAACAGGAUUAGAUACCCUUGUAGUC
rnacentral:rRNA from 1 species